GGGCGGUUAGCUCAAUUGGUAGAGCAUCUCAUUGACGUUGAGAGGGUUAGAGAUUCGAGUUCUCUACCGCCCA
rnacentral:tRNA from 1 species